rnacentral:lncRNA from 1 species
GGAGCAGUGGCUACAAACUGGAGGACCGCUAAUCUAAUAAUUAUCAGCUUGGAGUGUUUUAAAACAGCCUUCAGGAUGUUGGUCUAAAGUUUGCUGCCUACACCAGAAACGUUUGAGAAAGCUGCUGAGAUCACCAAGAGAAGAUGGAUGUAAUGGUUUUCUGAAGAGAGGGUAAGUUGUUGGCAGAAGGUGGUGCUGUUACCUGAUGGUGAAGCAGAUAACUAGCUCCUGUGUCAGGGAACUUCUGCUAAACAAAAUCC